rnacentral:rRNA from 1 species
CGGUCGAGCGACGGACGAGAAGCUUGCUUCUCUGAUGUUAGCGGCGGACGGGUGAGUAACACGUGGAUAACCUACCUAUAAGACUGGGAUAACUUCGGGAAACCGGAGCUAAUACCGGAUAAUAUUUUGAACCGCAUGGUUCAAAAGUGAAAGACGGUCUUGCUGUCACUUAUAGAUGGAUCCGCGCUGCAUUAGCUAGUUGGUAAGGUAACGGCUUACCAAGGCAACGAUGCAUAGCCGACCUGAGAGGGUGAUCGGCCACACUGGAACUGAGACACGGUCCAGACUCCUACGGGAGGCAGCAGUAGGGAAUCUUCCGCAAUGGGCGAAAGCCUGACGGAGCAACGCCGCGUGAGUGAUGAAGGUCUUCGGAUCGUAAAACUCUGUUAUUAGGGAAGAACAUAUGUGUAAGUAACUGUGCACAUCUUGACGGUACCUAAUCAGAAAGCCACGGCUAACUACGUGCCAGCAGCCGCGGUAAUACGUAGGUGGCAAGCGUUAUCCGGAAUUAUUGCGCGUAAAGCGCGCGUAGGCGGUUUUUUAAGUCUGAUGUGAAAGCCCACGGCUCAACCGUGGAGGGUCAUUGGAAACUGGAAAACUUGAGUGCAGAAGAGGAAAGUGGAAUUCCAUGUGUAGCGGUGAAAUGCGCAGAGAUAUGGAGGAACACCAGUGGCGAAUGCGACUUUCUGGUCUGUAACUGACGCUGAUGUGCGAAAGCGUGGGCAUCAACAGGAUUAGAUACCCUGGCUAGUCCACGCCGUAAAACGAUGA